CUGUAUGGUAUCGGCGCCGCAGCCACGCCCGGAUGACAGGCCUGAGGACCCCCUUCGCAUGGAGUCCUUUGAGUCCUGGGUCACCAUUGACAAUCUAUCAGAAGAAGGGAGCAUGGACAGACCAUGGAGCCAGCUGUCCCAGGGAGAGAACUCAACAACAGAUAUCAAGAUCGAAGAUUUAGAAGACUAAAGAAGAAUGCAGUUCCAAACCAGACCCGUGCUGCCCAUUCUGUUGCUGAGUUGAAGGCCACAGGCAGGUUUUCUCUUUCUGUGUAACCUGUGAUUGGAA